rnacentral:rRNA from 1 species
UACGUAGGGGCUAGCGUUAUCCGGAAUUACUGGGCGUAAAGGGUGCGUAGGUGGUUUCUUAAGUCAGAGGUGAAAGGCUACGGCUCAACCGUAGUAAGCCUUUGAAACUGGGAAACUUGAGUGCAGGAGAGGAGAGUGGAAUUCCUAGUGUAGCGGUGAAAUGCGUAGAUAUUAGGAGGAACACCAGUAGCGAAGGCGGCUCUCUGGACUGUAACUGACGCUGAGGCACGAAAGCGUGGGGAGCAAACAGGAUUAGAUACCCGCGUAGUCCCUGAGCGGG